rnacentral:tRNA from 1 species
ACCUCGAACGGCGUGGUGAGAUACAUCUCGGCGAUCCAGUUGCCGUAGAGCAGGUGGGCGUGGCUUUUCCAGCGGUUCUGCGGCGGCUUCGAGGGA